AACAAGGUCUCCGUUGGUGAACCAGCGGAGGGAUCAUUAUCGAGUUAUUCAACUCCCAAACCCUAUGUGAACUUACCACUUGUUGCUUCGGCGCGCGCUUCGGCGCCGCCGAGGACACUUAAACUCUUUGUUUUUAUAAGCAUUUCUGAGUGGCCGAAAGGCAAAAAUACAAAUGAAUCAAAACUUUCAACAACGGAUCUCUUGGUUCUGGCAUCGAUGAAGAACGCAGCGAAAUGCGAUAAGUAAUGUGAAUUGCAGAAUUCAGUGAAUCAUCGAAUCUUUGAACGCACAUUGCGCCCGCCAGCAUUCUGGCGGGCAUGCCUGUUCGAGCGUCAUUUCAACCCUCGAGCCCGACUCUUUUGAGGACGGCUCGGCGUUGGGGGACGGCAGACUCCCCCCGGCAUCUCGCCGGGGACGCCGCCCCCGAAAUCUAGUGGCGGCCCUCCGAGGCGACCUCUGCGUAGUAACUUGUUCUCGCACCGGAAAGCUCAGAGUGGCCACGCCAUAAAACCCCAACUUUUUUCAGGUUGACCUCGAAUCAGGUAGGACUACCCGCUGAACUUAAGCAUAUCAAUA
rnacentral:rRNA from 1 species